rnacentral:lncRNA from 1 species
ACUUGGUGCCAUGUCCGGUCAUGAGAUCUCUGACAACACAGGUAUUUAAAAAGAGGCUACUUGAUGUAUGAAAUGGAUGUUGCUGAGGGCACCUAGUACUGCAUACCAACUGCAUACUGGACUGAAUAUCCAGGGAAUGUCUCUCUCUACCACCUCCUCCCCACCCUCUUCCAGUGUAUGCCUGUGUGUGCAUGUGUAGUGUGGAGCUUUCUGAGGGGGUAUCAGGGAGGGAAGGGGCAGCGGGGCACCCCGAUCCUCUCUGCUCCCCAUCUUGGGCGAUUGUAGUGGUGCCGCUGGUCACCUGUCCGUCCCCAGUGCCCUGACAGGGACCACACUGUGCUGGGAUGAGGCUCCUGCUCCCCUCGCACAGGCCAGCCAUGGAGUGAACCCCCCCUUCUCUGGCUGGCCUCUCACGGUGCUUCAGCCUUCUGCCCAGAUCCUGUGCCCUCGCAGGCCUCAGGCUUUCUGUACAAGAGACACAGUUAUCUUUUACCCACUCGCCAGCCGCCUAAGGAACCGACUGGCCAGGCAACGGCAAACAGCAUCAUCCCCAAAGGGCUUUUCUUUUCAACAAAUAAAACAAGAAAUCCCAUUCCAGACCCUUGAAAGUCCCCACCCAGUGAAGGAAGUCCAGAAGGGCCAAAAGAGAGAGACAGCUGCAAUCUAGGUUUACUACAAAACGAGGCUUCUGCUGUGGCGGCCUGCAGGCGGAAUGUCCACAUCCAAGGACAGCAUUUGACCAAAGAGGUUUUGAAUUUCCUCCUAAUUGUGGAUGGUGGGCCUGGAGGAGUGGGGACUUUGUCCUCAGGGUGACCCCACAUCCAGGAAGUCUCAGGUUGCUUCAUCACAGGAUGAGGGAGAGGUUUGGCUGGAUAGUCUGAGCGACUGCCUUCCUCCCAAGCCAAAAUUAAACAAAAGCCCGGUUUCCAAGACCCCCUUUGAGGCCCUGUCCUGCAGAAACAGCGCAAGUGGCUGGCUGCCAUGACAUGACCAUUCUGGAAAAUGAAGAAAACUCCCAAUUCUGUCCCAUUGGGAUGUCCUCCGGAGUCCUGCAUGGAUCGCCACACACUUCCUGCCUCCCUAAGCUCAUCAAGGCUUGGAAAACAAGGAAAGAAGCAUGGGAGAAGAUGCCCACAGGAUUUGGACUUCUCAGUGUGGCUCAGGCCCCCUCGUCUUCACUAGGACUUUGGGAGUCUCUCUCCGAUGAGCUUGACAUCUGAGCUCAGAGUGCCUGGGGAGUGGGGAUGAGGAAGAUCAGCAGAGGUCAGGCUGUAUGGCCCCUUUGCUCUCCAGGCCUGUCCUGGCUUCAAUCCAAGGUCAAGGAACUCAGGGUUAGCCCCUAACAUAUGACUUUGGCACCCAACCUGUAGGUUUUGGUUUUGGUUUUGUUUUUUUGAGUGAGUGAGUAAAUGUGAAAAUGAUUGACUUCCGAGUGAAUGAAUGGAUGAGUGAAUGGGUGAGGGGAGAGAGGAGUUCAUUCUGGAAAGGAGGAAGAAAUGGGAGGCCCUCCCAUUGAAGCCUGUAAGCCCCAGCAUUGCCAUCUGUUCUUUGACUCAAGUGGGGGCCAAGAUGACAGUCAAAUUUCCUGCCCUGAGGGUCUUCUCGGGGCUACACUUCCAGGGGCCCAUGGGGGCAGCCCCAGUCUCUUUUUGGCUCUCCUGCCCUGCAUUUUCACCCUCAGACCCUACUUUAGCUCACCCUAGCCCAUAGCACAAGGUGGUUUUCCAGUAGGCUAAGCCAAGGGUCCGAGGUCACGGUUUCCCCUGGGCUGGGACUUGCUUGGGGCAGUAAUG